UUUAUUUAUAUUCUUAUUUUUUUAAUUAAUUUAAAUUAAUAUUGACAAUCCAAUAAAAAAAUAAUUUAUAACGGUGACACAAAAUCGGAGGCCACGACUGUUUACUAAAAACACAACACAGUGCAAUCAUUAAUAUGAUAGUAUACUGUGUGAAAUUUGCCCGAUGCCAUUAAUAUAAGAGCGAUCAUGGUUUUCUGUGAUUAAUCGAAAAUCUGGUUAAUAGCGGUCUUAACUAUGAGGAUCCUAAGGUAGCAAAAUAAAUUGGCCUUUAAAUGAGGUCCGGUAUCAAUAAUGUAACGAUGGUCUCACUGUCUCUACAACUUGCUCAGUGAAAUUGAAUUACGCGUGCAGAUGCGCGUUGCCUUCAGGGGGACGGGAAGACCCUAUGCAG
rnacentral:rRNA from 1 species